GGGAUAUACAGGAAACAGGCAUAUUGCUAGAGUCAACACUGGCCAAAAAAAAAAAGAAAGAAGUGUCUGCCACAGUGGAUGCCGUUUUACAAAUGUCCAUGCAAAGAAGGCAUCAUUUUCUGAAAAUACUUGAUCAGGGAAGAUCUCUAAAUGAGCUGGCCAGGUAGACAACUUUUUCUUUCCAGGACGAACCGUUUUCACCACACGAUCACAGCGCACUAAAAGAUUCUUUCUUAAUAGAGUAUUAGCAAUCUCUUCAACCUCUAUAUUUUUAUUUGAUUCCAAUAUAUCUUUGAGCUCUUGAUGAUUUUUCAAGAAAUUUACGAAAUCCUUCCCUCUAAAGUAUUCGACACGAGUCUCCUGCAAAACAGCCCAUCGAGAAACCAAACCUUUGUGGUCUCUCACCUUCUCAGCAAACAACUGAAACACAUCCUUCUUUGGAGAUUGUCUCCUAGGAGGGGUAUCGGAAUUGGGAUCUCUGGUGCCGUUUUGCACGGCUGCUGAUGAUCUUCGCACCCUUUUCUUCUCUGCUCCUCCUGAUUUCUUCAUCUCUUCCUCUCACUCACUCUUUCUCUCUCUCUCCUUCUUUCUCUUCUUUAUGAU
rnacentral:misc_RNA from 1 species